rnacentral:rRNA from 1 species
AGAGUUUGAUCCUGGCUCAGGACGAACGCUGGCGGCGUGCCUAACACAUGCAAGUCGAGCGGAGACAGUGAGUAGCUUGCUACGAACUGUUUUAGCGGCGGACGGGUGAGUAACGCGUGAGCAACCUUUCCCAGACAGGGGAAUAACACACCGAAAGGUGUACUAAUACCGCAUAAGACCACGGGAUCACAUGGUUCUGGGGUAAAAGAAUUAUCGGUUUGGGGUGGGCUCGCGUCCGAUUAGGUAGUUGGUGAGGUAACGGCUCACCAAGCCGACGAUCGGUAGCCGACCUGAGAGGGUGAUCGGCCACAUUGGGACUGAGACACGGCCCAAACUCCUACGGGAGGCAGCAGUGGGGAAUAUUGGGCAAUGGGGGGAACCCUGACCCAGCAACGCCGCGUGGAGGAAGAAGGUUUUCGGAUCGUAAACUCCUGUCCUUGGAGACGAGUAGAAGACGGUAUCCAAGGAGGAAGCCCCGGCUAACUACGUGCCAGCAGCCGCGGUAAUACGUAGGGGGCAAGCGUUGUCCGGAAUAAUUGGGCGUAAAGGGCGCGUAGGCGGCUCGGUAAGUCUGGAGUGAAAGUCCUGCUUUUAAGGUGGGAAUUGCUUUGGAUACUGUCGGGCUUGAGUGCAGGAGAGGUUAGUGGAAUUCCCAGUGUAGCGGUGAAAUGCGUAGAGAUUGGGAGGAACACCAGUGGCGAAGGCGACUAACUGGACUGUAACUGACGCUGAGGCGCGAAAGUGUGGGGAGCAAACAGGAUUAGAUACCCUGGUAGUCCACACUGUAAACGAUGAAUGCUAGGUGUAGGGGGUAUCGACCCCUUCUGUGCCGCAGUCAACACAAUAAGCAUUCCGCCUGGGGAGUACGGCCGCAAGGUUGAAACUCAAAGGAAUUGACGGGGGCCCGCACAAGCAGCGGAGCAUGUGGUUUAAUUCGACGCAACGCGAAGAACCUUACCAGGU